rnacentral:rRNA from 1 species
UACGUAGGUGACAAGCGUUGUCCGGAUUUACUGGGCGUAAAGAGCGCGCAGGCGGUCGUUCAAGUCGCGUGUGAAAGCCCCCGGCUCAACUGGGGAGGGUCACGCGAUACUGAUCGACUCGAAGGCAGGAGAGGGUAGUGGAAUUCCCGGUGUAGUGGUGAAAUGCGUAGAUAUCGGGGGGAACACCAGUGGCGAAGGCGACUACCUGGCCUGUUCUUGACGCUGAGGCGCGAAAGCUAGGGGAGCAAACGGG